GGCCGGUUAGCUCAGUCAGUUGAGCGUACUGCUAACAAUGCUAAGGUUGCGGGUUCGAUUCCCGUUUGGUCCC
rfam:Apaloderma vittatum contig64419, whole genome shotgun sequence.